rnacentral:rRNA from 1 species
GACAGAGGGUGCAAACGUUGUUCGGAAUUACUGGGCGUAAAGCGCGUGUAGGCGGCCCUGCAAGUCGGAUGUGAAAUCCCAUGGCUCAACUAUGGAAGUGCAUUCGAAACUGCAGGGCUAGAGUCCUGGAGAGGAAGGUGGAAUUGCUUGGUGUAGAGGUGAAAUUCGUAGAUAUCAAGCGGAACACCGGUGGCGAAGGCGGCCUUCUGGACCGAGUACUAGUGAGCGUCAAGCGC